rnacentral:misc_RNA from 1 species
UUUCCGUAGGUGAACCUGCGGAAGGAUCAUUAUCGUGUAACCGAGGUGCGAGGGCUGUCGCUGACCCGAAAGGUCGUGCACGCCCGAGUGCCCUCACACACAUCCAUCUCACCCCUAUGUGCACCACCGCGUGGGUCCCCCUUUGGCUUGUUCGGAGGGGGGCUUACGUUUUCACACAAACUUUGUAUGCAGUGUAGAAUGUAUUUUUUGUUUUUGCGAUCACGCAAUCAAUACAACUUUCAACAACGGAUCUCUUGGCUCUC